rnacentral:rRNA from 1 species
GCUGUCGUCAGCUCGUGUUGUGAAAUGUUGGGUUAAGUCCCGCAACGAGCGCAACCCUUAUCCUUUGUUGCCAGCGGUCCGGCCGGGAACUCAAAGGAGACUGCCAGUGAUAAACUGGAGGAAGGUGGGGAUGACGUCAAGUCAUCAUGGCCCUUACGACCAGGGCUACACACGUGCUACAAUGGCGCAUACAAAGAGAAGCGACCUCGCGAGAGCAAGCGGACCUCAUAAAGUGCGUCGUAGUCCGGAUUGGAGUCUGCAACUCGACUCCAUGAAGUCGGAAUCGCUAGUAAUCGUGGAUCAGAAUGCCACGGUGAAUACGUUCCCGGGCCUUGUACACACCGCCCGU